rnacentral:rRNA from 1 species
AUUGAACGCUGGCGGCAGGCCUAACACAUGCAAGUCGAACGAGUGGCGGACGGGUGAGUAAUGUCUGGGAAACUGCCCGAUGGAGGGGGAUAACUACUGGAAACGGUAGCUAAUACCGCAUACCCUCGGAUGUGCCCAGAUGGGAUUAGCUUGUAGGUGAGGUAACGGCUCACCUAGGCGACGAGCCAUAGCUGGUCUGAGAGGAUGAACAGCGACACGGGAAAUGAGACACGGGCCAGAGUCAGACGGGAGGCAGCAGUGGGGAAGAUGGCACAAUGGGGGCAAGGCUGAUGCAGCCAUGCCGCGUGUAGGAAGAAGGCCUUCGGGUUGUAAAGUACUGGCAGCGGGGAGGCGUUACCCACAGAAGAAGCACCGGCUAACUCCGUGCCAGCAGCCGCGGUAAUUC